UUACGGCCAUAUCAUGCUUAAACAAUGGUUCUAGUACGAUCAUCGAAGUUAAGCAAUGUUAUGCAUGGUCAGUACUUAGCUAGGGAACCGCUUGAGAAUACCAGGUGAUGUAC